GUCCUGCUUAUAUUUCCUGCCUGGCUAUUGGGCAAUCAGCAUUUUGUUUAUACAGAGCGAUAUCCACAGCAACAGUCUUUGGCCAACAACCUGGAUGGAACUAAGUAUGCCAACCGCACGGAGUGUGGAAGUAGAUCCUUCCCAAGAUCUUGGAUACACGAAGUGUUUGGCUGACAGAAGAUGGUCAAAUGUGUCCCCUUCUGAGCCCAGGUCACAAAAGACAGGCAGCUUCAAUUUCUUUUUCCUUGGAAGGCUUUGUAAAAACAUAGCCAGAGAUGGCCAUGCUGGAGUCUGAGUGUUAGCUGACUCUGCAGAGCAUAGCCCUCUACCUGUGAUCUUGACAAGCACACAAAGGAAGCCAUCUGGUAGUCACCAACCAGCCUACCCACGAGUAUCAGUGUCCUCAUGGCAGCUGAUGCCUCAGGGAACAAAUCCGUGACUCACAGGAUCAUGAGAUAUGAUGAGGAUUGCUUUAAGCUGGCCAGUGAACAGCAAGAAGACAACUGGGGAAGAAUUUUGUAGCCGGGAGUGGGCUGUGGUCCGAGGACUGUAAAGCACACGUUUGAUAUUGGCUUUGUGACUGGGCCUAGGUUAAAGUGGGAAGACCUUGAGGAGCCUGUGAAUGAUGCUAGAAGGCCACAGAAGUGGCUGGGGAAACAUGGAAGGCCAGGGAAACUGGGAACUAUGAUCCUUGAAGAAAACCGAUGUCAUGUUAUAGUCACAUGGAAAACAGACAGCCAAUCAGCAGAUUUGCCUAGAGACAUUUCCUGACUGUGUUCAAGGUACCAAUCCAAACCAAUCCAAUUCUUUUUUUUUUUCUGUUUAUGAUAAGCCAUGGAUAAAAAGAUUAGGCUUAAAAAAGAGAAAUUUAUGGUGUUCAAACACAUUUUUAAAAGGAACUAUCAAGGAGUUUUAAGAUAAAAGUGAGCCCAUAGUCACGGUCAGAGCUAAACCCCAUCUAAGAUGUAUUUUGGUGCAUGUAUUGGUGUGUGAUGGAAGGUUUAAAUGCUGUAAUUCACAGGAUCCAGAUUUAGCACAAAAUUUGAUUUUACAUAUUGGCCACAGCCUACACGGAAUGUUAGCGGAAGUCCAGGUAGGAAAACCAAACAAAAGUAACACUUAGUUGAAUCACUUUGUUAGAAAAUUAUAAGAAAAUGCUCAUUGAAUUUUCCCCAUCAUUAGAAAGAAAAAAGAAAUAAUGAAAAUUGACAAUAAAGAUACAGAGAGCGAAUUCUCAAUUUCAAUUUGCCUUGCUGAAUGACACCUCUUAGAUAGUUUAUGAAAGGUAAAUUACAUUUGAAAUGAAAUCUUUUAAAUGGGUUAUCUUUGGGGUGGUUAUUUUGCACACCUUAAAAAUACAUUCUCUGUAUUGGUGGUGGGUUGGGUAGAAAGAUGAAUUCUGAAGGAGUUGAGAGAAAAAUAAUUUCAGAAGGUAAUGGAUGAACUCGGUCAGGAAGAUUAAUCAGGGCAGUUGCAAGAGAGUGCCCCAUCCAUAACUGGAGUAGAGCUAAAUAUCUGAUUGUAAUUAAAACUUUAGGUUUCUAAUGGCUGCAUGAAAGAUAUUUUAAUAAACGUGAAAUGCACUUUCUAAA